UAGGGAAUCUUCGGCAAUGGACGGAAGUCUGACCGAGCAACGCCGCGUGAGUGAAGAAGGUUUUCGGAUCGUAAAGCUCUGUUGUAAGAGAAGAACGAGUGUGAGAGUGGAAAGUUCACACUGUGACGGUAUCUUACCAGAAAGGGACGGCUAACUACGUGCCAGCAGCCGCGGUAAUACGUAGGUCCCGAGCGUUGUCCGGAUUUAUUGGGCGUAAAGCGAGCGCAGGCGGUUAGAUAAGUCUGAAGUUAAAGGCUGUGGCUUAACCAUAGUAGGCUUUGGAAACUGUUUAACUUGAGUGCAAGAGGGGAGAGUGGAAUUCCAUGUGUAGCGGUGAAAUGCGUAGAUAUAUGGAGGAACACCGGUGGCGAAAGCGGCUCUCUGGCUUGUAACUGACGCUGAGGCUCGAAAGCGUGGGGAGCAAACAGGAUUAGAUACCCUGGUAGUCCAUGCUGUAAACGAUGAGUGCUAGGUGUUAGACCCUUUCCGGGGUUUAGUGCCGUAGCUAACGCAUUAAGCACUCCGCCUGGGGAGUACGACCGCAAGGUUG
rnacentral:rRNA from 1 species